rnacentral:lncRNA from 10 species
CCUUCCUUCUUUUCUUUCUUUCUUUCUCUCUCUCUUUCUCCUUCCUUCCUUCCUUCUCCCUCCUCCUCCUCCUUCUUCUUCUUCUUCCUCUUCUUCUUUCCCUCCCUCCCUCCCUGCCUUCCUUUCUCUCUUUCUCUCUCUCUCCUUCUUCUCCCUCUCUCUCUCUCUCCUUCUCUCUCCCUCUCUCUCUCUCUCCUUCUUCUCCCUCUCUCUCUCUCUCCUUCUCUCUCCCUCUCUCUCUCCUUCUCUCUCCCUCUCCUUCUCUCUUUCUUUCUUUUUUUGACAGAGUUUCACUCUUCUUGCCCAGGCUGGAGUGCAAUGGCCUGGUCUUGGCUCACUGCAACCUCUGUGUCUUGGGUUCAAGCGAUUCUCCUGUCUCAGUCUCCUGAGUAGCUGGGAUUACAGGCAUGCGGCAACACGCCCAGCUAAUUUUUGUAUUUUUAGUAGAGAUAGGGUUUCACCAUGUUGGCCAGGCUGGUCUCGAGCUCCCGACCUCAGGUGAUCCGCCCACCUCUGCCUCCCAAAGUGCUGGGAUUACAGGCGUGAACCAUCGUGGCCUGGGCAAAUUCUACCUUUCCCUUGAGAAAAGCAAGAAAACCGAGGAAUGCAAGUCCUGUUAAAUGAUCAGACCCAGAGAGACAUUGAAGUGAGCCAGCCCUGGCAUCCUCCUUCACCCCCAGCUGCACAUUCAUCUAUUGAAGCUGCCUGCUGCUGCCACAGGUCAACACCGUCACCACUCAACUGAUAUCUUACUGCUUUUAUGAAGCCUUCCUUGAUUCCUCCGGCGGGGUGAUACCUCUCAGUAUCUUCCAUGAUGAAGAAAGACAUCUCAAUUUCCCUCUGAAUCUCCAGCUUCAGGGCAUGGUGGGCCAUUUGAAGACUUCUGGAGUCAAGAGAUAAAGGGAAGCAUUAGUUCCAUUGGGUCCUGUUUGAUCUUUAUACCAUCAACACGGAGCUCAGAGCUUCCCUGCUUCCCUUUCGCUCCUCAAGGUCACCAGAAGGACGUGGGCUUUUUGAUGUUCAAAGAAAGUCUGAAAGCCUCGCCUGGUCUUCUGAGCCUGAGCGUGCUGUUGGCAGGCUCUUCUGAAUCAAGUUGGGGCAGAGGAGGAUUCCUCGUCUCUUUCUGAGGCAGAUCCCACAGUCGUUAGGAGCUGGAUGAGCACGUUCUUUAAUAGAUUUCCUUUUUAUUUUUCUGGGUCUCAUCUGAAAUUUUUGACCCUUGCACGUCUCCAUUCUCUCAACCUUCUUUCUGACCAGAAAAUUCCUUCUGUAAUUUUGGCUACACAAGAGUAUCAAGGAAUGCUUAGGGGGCAAACAGAGUACUUCGAGAACAGCAUGCAUUCGGGCCAAGCUCCCAAGGCCAUGCUGAGCAUACGUCUCCAGCUCACAGCUUCGGGAAGCUGAGAGGAACAGAGGUCCUCAAUCUCAGAAAGAAAUAAAAGCAGAUCAGGGAAUCACCUCUCCCUUUUCCCUUAGUGAAAUAUUUUAAUGAGUUUUGAGGCUGUCUCUGUGUGUAUGAAAUGCCAGGAGUCUGCAUCUCAGCUGUUAUGACCAGAGGUCUUCUCUUGGGUGCUGGUGAGGACUGAGGACUAGCUGGCUUCAGGAAAGCUGCUUCAGCUGCUUUUCCUGCCAGCCACACAGCAGGAACAAGAAACAACUUUGGCUGGGCAUGGUGGCUCACGCCUGUAAUCCCAGCACUUUGGGAAGCCGAGCCAGGAGGAUCAGGAGGUCAGGAGUUCAAGACCAGCCUGGCCAUCAUAGUGAAACCCCAUCUCUACUAAAAAUACAAAAAAUUACCUGGGCCUGGUGGCGGGCGCCUGUAAUCCCAGCUACUCGGGAGGCCGAGGCAGGAGAAUCACUUGAAGCCAGGAGGCGGAGGUUUCAGUAAGCAGAGAUCACACCACUGCACUCCAGCCUGGAUGACAGUGCGAGACUCCAUUUCAAAAGAGAAAAAAAAGAAAAAGAAAAAGAAAAAGAAACAACUUUGCAGUUGUUUUUUUGCAGUUGUUGCACUGAGAGGAGUAGGAGGUCACCGCAAAGUCUGGCUGGAAAUAAAAGGCAAGAUUCGGGAUGCUUCCUCUUCAGUCAUUGAACAAGCGUGACUCCAGUUGAAUCUGAAAUGAGACAGCAGUCAAGGUUUCUUGGCUCAUCUCUUUCAACAAUUCAUUUAAGAAUAGCUGC